rnacentral:rRNA from 1 species
UACGUAGGUGGCAAGCGUUAUCCGGAAUUAUUGGGCGUAAAGCGCGCGCAGGCGGUUUCUUAAGUCUGAUGUGAAAGCCCACGGCUCAACCGUGGAGGGUCAUUGGAAACUGGGGGACUUGAGUAAAGAAGAGAAGAGUGGAAUUCCACGUGUAGCGGUGAAAUGCGUAGAGAUGUGGAGGAACACCAGUGGCGAAGGCGACUCUUUGGUCUGUAACUGACGCUGAGGCGCGAAAGCGUGGGGAGCAAACAGG